UUUUUCCUACGGGGGGCAGCAGUGGGGAAUAUCGCACAAUGGGGGAAACCCUGAUGCAGCGACGCCGCGUGAGCGAUGAAGUAUUUCGGUAUGUAAAGCUCUAUCAGCAGGGAAGAAAAUGACGGUACCUGACUAAGAAGCCCCGGCUAACUACGUGCCAGCAGCCGCGGUAAUACGUAGGGGGCAAGCGUUAUCCGGAUUUACUGGGAGUAAAGGGAGCGUAGACGGUCCUGCAAGCCAGCUGUGAAAGCCCGGGGCUCAACCCCGGGACUGCAUUUCG
rnacentral:rRNA from 1 species